UAUUCAUGCGCAAGGAGUUUGCUUCUGCUGCAUUUGAACAUCGGAAUCUCCAGAGGGACGCAGAGGGGACUUUGGGCACCUCAGCAGCACCAAUAUUUACAGGAAUUAUAGGUACUGAUAUCUCAAAGGAACAGAAGAGACUUUUUAUUUGUGGAACAACAGCUGCCCGGACGUUACUAGCCCAGAGAUGGAAAGAAGACAAAGUCCCUAGCAGAGAGGAGAGGCAAACUAAGCUGAUGGACUAUGCCGAGAUGGCAAAACUGACUGGAAAACCUCGGAACCAAGAGGACAAAAACUUUAUAAAAGAAUGGGAAAAAUUUAUGUUACUUAGGAGACCACUGUAAGCAGAUGGAAACAUUAGCAGGAUUUUGAUUUCACUUGUAGUUUAGCAAUUACCAUGGACAAAGUGGUUUGAUAUAAAAAUUGGAGUAUGAAAGAAUAUGCAGUAAUAAAUGUUCAAAAUGGGACACCCUGGGGGGAUGGGGCGGGGAAGAGUCCGGAGAUUUGGAGGAAUCUCUUUAUAUAAAUAUACUUUUUUAUUCUUUGUUUACAACUUUGUAUUGGGGAAACCAAUAAAAAUGAUUUUAAAAAAUAAUGACAAUGUUCACCAUAAGAUUAAA